UUUUCUUUUUUUUCCUUCCAGAAAUUCUUGUGUUUUAUUUUUUUUCUGAUAAUCAAAUGAAGGCAUGAAACAUUUAUUUAUUUUUAAUCAAAUCAAAAUGAAACCCUUUAAUUUUUUUGGCAAACAAACAGAGGUUUACUGUUAAAAUUAAUACAUGGUAGAAAAAUUAUGUGAAUAUACCUUUAAAAAAAGUUAUAAUAAUAAUUGUAUUUUUUUCUACAAUUAAGUCGUUAAUGUGGUUGUAAUAAUUAUUUUUAUAAUUUAAUUGUUUUAUUUAAAUUUGUCAGUAAAUGGAAUAUAUAAAGACGUACAUUAUACUGUACAAAAGUAAUACAAGAGUAAUAUAUUUCUGUUACAUGUUAAACCGCACUUUUAUUUUGACAGGUUGCGUGAAGUUUCUGUGUGUAUACAGUAUGAUAUGAUGCUGGUUUUCUCAAAUGAAACGGUAAAAUUCUCAUGAAGUGACUCACAGCCUGUAAGUUCAUGUGUUCAUGUAGUGAGAUGCAGAGGCCGAAAAUCACCGCGAGUUCACGUGUGCUUCAGUAUUUGUCAGAGAAGAAAGUCAGACAGCUUUGGAACAAUAUGAGGAGACUUUCUCCAGCAUGCAGUCGGCCCUAAGCACCACAGCCAGUCCAGAGCCACAAGCUCAUGUUUUCAUCCCAAACCUGGAUUAGUGAAGUCUGAUCCCAUAGCCACAGUUCAGCGAGCACACUGCUGGAGCAGUCCUGUACCUAAUUAACUUCAUUUUGCCUCUGUCAGUGAUUCCAAUGUGCAGGCGCAGCAUCAGGCCAAAUAGGAUCUGACAUUGCUUUCAUAAAUUCUAUAAUCUACUUCAG